GUGGGGAAUCUUAGACAAUGGGGGAAACCCUGAUCUAGCCAUGCCGCGUGAUCGAUGAAGGCCUUAGGGUUGUAAAGAUCUUUCGCUGGGGAAGAUAAUGACUGUACCCAGUAAAGAAGCCCCGGCUAACUCCGUGCCAGCAGCCGCGGUAAUACGGAGGGGGCUAGCGUUAUUCGGAAUUACUGGGCGUAAAGCGCACGUAGGCGGACCAGAAAGUUGGGGGUGAAAUCCCGGGGCUCAACCUCGGAACUGCCUUCAAAACUCCUGGUCUUGAGUUCGAGAGAGGUGAGUGGAAUUCCGAGUGUAGAGGUGAAAUUCGUAGAUAUUCGGAGGAACACCAGUGGCGAAGGCGGCUCACUGGCUCGAUACUGACGCUGAGGUGCGAAAGCGUGGGGAGCAAACAGGAUUAGAAACCCCAGUAGUCC
rnacentral:rRNA from 1 species